AUUGCUUCAUGGCCUUUUGGCUGAGAUCAAGUGUAGUAUCUGUUUUUAUCAGUUUAAGUUAAAAAAAAAAAGAUGGAGGCAUCCGUCAUGCACAGCCAACGUUUAGAAAAAAUAUUUCCUGAUACUAAAGUAUUGGGGACUACCUCUUAAUUUUUAUAAAUUUGGGUCAAAAUCCAUCCCCU